AUGCAGCCUGACGCGGCUGGCGCGGUGGCAUCAGACGGCGAUACCGAUCCGGGGUCUGAUCGGCGUCGCACGGCGUUGACGAGGAUGAGUGAGAGGAAGUUCACGCGUGGCCUGGGGAAACCCGGCAUGGCGGCGCAGCUGCGGGAGACCGUGUCCCAGGUCGUUCGCGAGAGCACGGUGCAGAAUAAACCACAUUUGGUUGAACCCAUUGACUUUGAGAAUUUUGUGCUGAAGAAUAAGACGCUGUUGCAAAAUGAUCCCCAGCGAGAGCUACUACUAUAUCCCCAGGAUGAUAUUUCUCAAGUGGUUCUGCCAAGGAGAUACCGCAGUUUGGUACCAACAGCUCAACAUAUUACAGAAGGUGAGGAAGGUGAGGAGAGUCUCCUGACAAAAGAGUGUUUGUCCAGUUAUAUAUCUAAUUGGAAUCUUGUACACUAUAAAUAUGCUGCAUACAGUGGAAGUUAUCUUGAAUUGCCAAGAAUUUUGAAAGCGGAUGAUUUGAAGGACGAAGUAUAUGAAAUCGAUACUGAAGUGGAUCAAGUAGAUGAGGACUUAACAAAGAACGAUGGUAUAACGAAGGAAGGUUACUUAAUGAAAGGUGCUGAGAUUGGUAGUACGGAUAGAAUGUUCGCUCAUAUUGGAUCGAAAUCAUUUAAGAGACGUUUUUGCCAUCUCAGACAGGAAGUUGAUGGCACUUAUAUACUCGAGUUUUUUAAAGAUGAGAGGAAAGGCGAAGCAAAACUGUCAAUAGUGAUGGAUUUUUGUACGGAGGUUGUUAGAAAUUCAAAACGCGGGAGAUAUUGUUUCGAACUACGGAUGAGCGACACACACAAAUCUUAUACUUUGGCUGCCGAUAACGAGGCCGAUAUGCAAGAUUGGUUAUUGAAGCUCAGUUCUGUCAUACAACACUACAAACAGCAGGAGGAAAAACGUGCCGCCUCUCUUGAAAGAACCUGUAAUACGCCUCCGCCAUCGCCACAACCUAUGCAGGUUUAUGGUACACUAAAAGGUCUCGAGCAGAGUAUGAAUCCACAAUUAAUAAAAUACUCCAGGGAGACAGACACAAGCAUCGCUUUAGCAAGAAGAGAGAACAGAAAAAGACUGUUCAAUGUGUAUCCUUACAUACCUCAUGCCAAAAUGCAUACAGGACAAUCUACCGAUAACGUGGAUCCUUACAAGGAACAGUUCGGCCACAGAAUCCUCGUCAAGUGCGAAAGCCUUAAAUUUAGACUGCAAGCGCCUAUUGACGAGAAGGAAUCUCUUUGUCAAGUGGAACCUUACCAUACGGUGUUGAGCCUUUUUGAUGCGAGGAACGGUAGAAAACUGACGGAAAAUUUUCACUUCGAUAUUAAUCACGAAAUAGUACGAGAUAUGGCGAGAGAGCUUAGUCCUGCAGGAAUUCCAACAGAAACGGAAGAAAUUACUCUUCCUGGGGAAUUGCAAAACAUUCCUUCGGAUUGGAUAAAAUAUCCAAAACAGGCCAUAUUCAACAUUAGUAAUCCUCAUCCAGAUAUAUUUCUCGUCGUAAGAAUAGACAAGUUACUCCAAGGAAACAUAUAUCAAACUUCAGAGCCCUAUUUGAGAGCUACUAAGGAUCCAAGAUUGGGUUUGAAGGUGCAUAAACAAGUUCGAGCAUGUUGCCAAAGACUGGGAAAUUAUAGGAUGCCGUUUGCAUGGGCUGCAAGGCCAUUGUUUAGAUUGUAUAGUAACGAAUUAGAUACAUCUUCGGAUUUUCCAGCAAUAUACAGGCAGGAGGGUAACAAAAUAAAAGAUGAGGAGCUACUAAAACUUCUUUCUGAAUACAGAAAGCCUGAGAGGCUUAGCAAAUUGACUGUGAUACCUGGUUGGUUGAAAAUUAAAAUAGAGCCCAUUUCGGACAUUCCUGAAAAUACGUUAUCGACCUGCCUAGCGCCGUUAAAGCCAUUUCCGAUCCCACCAACGACGGAGCCGACGAUCGAAGUUGCCGAGUUUGAGAGUACUUCCGAGAGGGAUGUGCACCCGUACACGACAUAUAUUAAUCAUCUGUACGUGUAUCCGCAGACACUCAACUUUGACAGUCAAAAAAUGUUUACCCGAGCUAGGAACAUAGCGUGCAUUGUGGAGCUCCGUGACGACGACGGAGAAAAUGUCAAGCCUUUACGAGUGAUUUAUGGGAGACCGGGUUUGCCAUUACUAUGCCUACGGACGUCGUGCGCAGUGUUACAUCAUAACGCAGUGCCUUCUUGGUAUGAAGAAAUCAAGAUUAAACUACCCACGAAAUUACACGCGAAGCACCAUAUACUAUUCUCCUUUUAUCACAUAAGCUGCGACAUGAAUAAGAAGAAAGAGAAUGGCGUUGAAAACUGUGUCGGCUAUGCAUGGGCACCUUUACUGCAUAAAGGAAGACUGAACGUAGAUAUAGAAUCAAAUAUCCAAGUGUUGCCUGUAGCGACGCACUUGCCAUCAGGAUAUCUUUCUAUACAACCCCUUGGAUUAGGGAAAGGGGUAAGAAACGCAGGUCCGGACAUCACUUGGAUCGAUUCUCAACGACCAAUCUUUACAGUGUCUUUUCAAUUAAUUUCGACAGUGUUCACGCGAGACCUUCAUUUGCACAACCUGUUUGUCCACGCUGAGCGCAUUUUGGAUACAAAACCCUCAACGACGCCCUCUGAUUUGGAGACGUGCAAAAUUCUGAAGGCGGCACAUGCAGUUCAACUAGUCACCGUUAUCACGUUUCUCCCAACUAUACUGAAUCAACUGUUCGUAUUGCUGACAUACAAUACUAGUCAAGAGGUUGGAUUGUACGUGAUCAGGGUCUUAAUACAUUUUAUAAACAUGGUGCAUGAAGCCGGUCGUAAGGAAAUUCUACAAGCGUACAUCAAGUUCGUUUUUGUGCUACCUCCUCUGCGAAAUGGUAACACUACGGUUCACGAGCAAUUAGCGAAGCACUUACCAAUUUUGCUGCAACCUAGCAAUACCGAUUUUCUAGUGGUGAACAAAUUCAUGCAUCAUUCAAGUUUUUUUUUCGAAAUAAUGAUUAAAAGCAUGGCACAAUAUCUGCUGAGUACUGGCAGGAUAAAGAUGCAUAGAAACGAGCGAUUUUCAAAAGAUUACCACGAGAAAAUCAAGAUGUUAUUAGAUGUCAUUAUGCCAUACUUAAUGACUAAAUACAGAGAGAUGCCGGUGGAGACACACGAACUUAACAAAAGUCUCGCACAAUUUUUAAAGCGAUGUCUCACAUUCAUGGACCGUGGCUUUGUGUUUCGUCUCAUCAAUUCUUAUCUGGACAACUUUUCACCUGGUGACCAACGCACACUGCACGAUUUCAAAUUCACCUUUCUACAAAUUAUUUGCUCUCACGAGCACUAUGUAUCUUUCAAUUUGCCAAUGAUGCAGUCACGUCUUGUUUCCAGAGACACUGACAAUGACACUGAGAGUGAACCAGACUGCGAUGAUCUGAUGAAUGAUUAUUGCCUUACGGAGGAAUUUUGUAAACAUCACUUCUUGGCUGGUCUUUUGAUGCAAGAAGUUAAGACUUCGCUCAAUGAGAUUGUGCAGAUCCGCAAGGUCGCCAUUAGUACUUUACGGGAUCUAAUGGCGAAACAUGAGUUGGAUGAUAGGUAUCAAAAUAAGGGUCAAUUGAGUAGAAUAGCGUCGAUUUACAUACCAUGGCUCGGCAUUGUAUUGGAAAAUUUGCACCGACUGCAAUCAGUAGAAGAGAAUGAAAUCAAGACAGAGGCGAAACAGAAUGGCACUAACAGAGUGUCAACUAGCAGUUCAUUUUUGACAACAAAGGAUACCGUUAUCAGUUCCACGACUGUGGGUACACCUAAGUCUAUUCACAGACUGACUCUUCACUUGGACACUCAAUCGCCUAUAAGAUCUUCUAUGCAUCUGCGAGAUUCCACUUAUUUUGCUGCCAUUGCGGGUCAAGGAUUAGUAAAUGGAUAUUCUUGCACCAGCGUUGAGUCCGAUACUUCAACUGUAUCUGGUGCGUCCCAGUCUAACGUUUCUCAGGAGACUGCCAUCAUUAGAGAAUUACCGGAAAAUGGAAUGGAUGAGAGAAAGAGACAUUCGCGUACCUUGAGCGUGACGCAAUCGUCGCCCAGAUGUGAUAAGUUGCAGCCAUCAGAAGUGAAGGACAUACUACUUUGCUUCCUAUUCAUUGUCAAAUAUCUGGGUGAUCAUCAGGUGAUUGCUUGGUGGCAACAAUGCAAUGAAACAGAAAUACUGAACUUCUUUACAGUGAUUGAGAUGAGCUUGCAUCAUUUCAAAUAUAUCGGUAAAAGACAAAUAGCUGCGAAUGCAGUGAAUAAUGUUGGGAAACCCCGUACUGUCAAGGCAAUGACUUUACCUGCUAGAAUGGCGCCGCCAGAUUUUACUACUGAAAGUCCUGCUACCAGCACGUUGCAACCUCACAAUACAAUUACUAGAGAGAAUUUAGUUGAAACUGAUAGUGGCAAAGUGUAUCAAGCUUUAUUGGAGGCAAAUAUGGCAACAGAAGUUGGUUUGAUCGCGCUAGAUUGUUUGGGUCUCUUCUGUGUUCAUUUUAAAGAUAUUCUCCUAGCGAAUGAAGGCGACAAUGCAGUUAUGCAAAAGUUUUUCAACAUUUAUUUGUCGUUCCUUCAAGUUGGUCAAUCUGAAACUUUACUACGUCAUGUUUUCGCUGGACUCCGAGCUUUCUUGAAUAAUUAUUCCAUUGCGCUUUUCCAAGGCAACGCUGUGCUUUGUGGACGCUUGUGUUAUGAGUUGUUGCGUUGUUGUAACAGCAAGUUGAGUUCCAUACGGCAGGAGUCCUGCGCUUUACUAUAUUUGCUUAUGCGAAGUAAUUUUGAGUUUACUAGUCGAAAGGGGUUGACUAGAGUGCACUUGCAAGUGAUAAUUUCAGUCUCUCAAAUGCUGGGGAAUGUAAUCGGUUUGAAUAAUUCACGAUUUCAAGAAUCGCUAUCGUUAAUCAACAGCUAUGCUUCCUCUGACAAAGUUAUGAAGGGUACGGGUUUUCCAGUUGAAGUGAAAGAUCUUAAUAAGAGAAUACGAACAGUGUUAAUGGCAACUGCGCAAAUGCGGGAGCACAAUAACGAUCCUGAGAUGUUGGUUGAUUUGCAACAUAGUUUGGCCAAUUCUUACGCUAGCACACCUGAAUUGAGGCAUACCUGGUUGGAGACGAUGGCUAGAAAUCACGCUAGGGAUGGCAAUUUUUCUGAGGCUGCUUGUUGUCAACUGCAUAUUGCAGCAUUGAUGGCUGAAUAUCUUAAAUUGCGAAAAGUUCAUUCGUGGGACGCAGAGGUUUUCGAUAAAAUUUCUGUAAACAUAUCGAAGGAUGAACGUAAUCUUAAACUUGAUGCUGGUAUUCAAGAUAUUCACUAUAAUGAAAGUUUACUUCUUGAACAAUUGGAAGUUUGUGCCGAUACGUUAGAGAAGGCCGAGCGUUUUGAAUUGCUUGGGCAUUUGUAUCGCUUAAUAGUUCCUAUGUACGAGAAAAGGAGAAAUUAUGAAGCUUUGGCUAACUGUUAUUCGCAUUUGGCGCAAGCCUGCAAUAAAAUUGUAGAGGUAACACGAACUGGGAAAAGAUUGCUCGGGAGAUUCUAUAGAGUGGCAUUCUUUGGCAUGGCGUACUUUGAGGAGGAGAAUGGUCAAGAAUAUAUUUAUAAAGAACCUAAAUUGACAUCAUUGUCUGAAAUAUCGGAACGUCUAUUACGUUUAUAUAGCGAGAAAUUCGGAUCUGAGAACGUUAAGAUGAUAAUGGAUUCUGUACCGGUCGACAUUAGUGAGUUAGAUCCCAAGAUAGCGUACAUUCAGGUAACGCAUGUUACACCGUAUUUCGAGAAGACCGAAUUGGAAGUGCGACAGACCGAGUUCGAGCAAAGUCAUAACGUAUGUUGCUUCAUGUUUGAGACACCAUUUACUAAGGAGGGCAAAGCAAGAGGUAGUCCGGAGGAUCAAUGGAAACGUAGGACUAUUCUUACAACUCAAUAUGCUUUUCCGUAUGUGAAGAAACGUAUCGGGGUUGUCGAGAAGCGAAUAGUGGAGCUCAGUCCCAUUGAAGUCGCUUUGGAUGAAAUGAGGCAACGCGUUCAGGAAUUAGAAGACGUGGCCUUGAUCGGACCGACAGAUGUAAAAAAGCUACAGUUACGUCUCCAAGGUAGCAUUUGUGUAACGGUAAACGCCGGUCCUUUAACGUAUGCUUCCGCGUUUCUGGAUCCAGCAUUGUCUCCGCAAUAUGCCGAUGACAAAGUAGAAGAAUUGAAGGAUGUCUUUAGGGAAUUUGUCAAGAUAUGUUAUACAGCAUUACAAAUUAAUAGCAAACUGAUCACGCCGGACCAGCAUGAAUAUCAGGAAGUGUUGCGUGAAAACUACCAAAAAUUGUGCCAGAGUUUGUCAUCCUUGUUCGGGGAGCCGAUAUGGCCGGACGAACAAGUGGGAAGCUUCAAACGCAAUAGUGCUGCUCUGUUCAGCGCUAUCAGUGGUGCUAACAAUCACACCAGUACAGCCUAAGUCAAUAAUCUUAGAAACGUUCAUCCAACAGACCUCAGAUCAUUUGUAGCAUAAUAUGUUUCUUCCAAGAAGGUUUUAAAUUUCUGCUUCAAUAUGAAGAAAUCUACGGCUGAGGCUCAUCGAAUGCUAUCAAAUUCAAGAUUUUCCACUGGUCAAGCGUGUGAGUAGUCUGUGGGCAAGUGAACGGUGUGCAAGUGAAAUACAACUGUUUUUUCGACGCGGGAUUCGUACGCUGCUCGAAAGAUAGGAGAAGAUAGUGGUCAGCGAUGGACAAUACUUUGAAUCGUAAAUGUAUACCCAGUUUUUUACAAUAAAGCCUUAAAUGUCGAAAAAAAAACGGCGGAAGCAAAGUUGUACAUUUAAUAAAUUGCUUAACAAAGACUUCUAUUACAAUGUAAAUUUUAUUUAUUGAUUUUUUAUAUAUAAAAAUAAUAUCAAAGUAUUAUAAAAUUAUUUACAUAUUUUUAUCAAUAUUUAAUAGCACUCGUAGCACUCUGUAGUAUUCCGUAGCACUUCAUAGCAUUACGUAGCAUUUAUAGCACUCCGUAGCAUUUCGUAGCACGCCGUAAUAAUCGUAGCAUUCCGUAGUAUUCUCUAACACUCCGUAGCAUUCCGUAGCUCUCGAUAGUAUUCCGUAGCACUCUGUAACAUUCCGUAGCACUGCGUAGCAUUCUGUAGCAUUUGUAGCACUCCGUAGCAUUUCGUAGCACUCCGUAGCAUUCGUAGCACGCCGUAGCAUUCCGUAGUACUUCGUAGCAUUUGUAGCACUCUGUACCACUUCAUAGCAUUCCGUAACAUUCAUAGCACUCCGUAGCAUUCGUAGCACUCCAUAGCGUUGUGUAGCAUUUGUAGCACUCCGUAGCAUUCCGUAGCCCUUGGUAGUAUUCCGUAGCACUCAGUAACAUUUCAUAGCAUUCUGUAGCAUCCAUAACACUUCGUAGCAUUCGUAGCACUCUGUAGUACUCUGUAGUAUUCCGUGGCGCUCCAUAGCAUUCCGUAGCAUUCGUAGCACUCCGUAGCAUUCGUACCACUCCAUAGCACUUCCUAGCAUUCGUAGCACUCCGUACCAUUCUGUAGUAUUGCGUAGUAUUCUUAGCACUCCGGAGCAAUUGUAACAUUCCGUAGCAUUCCGUAGUACAUGUAGCACGCGUAUUUACAAAUAAUACUUUUAAAAAUACACUUUUAAUUGCUUUAAUAAAAUGUAACUUUUGGUAUCUUGAUUAGACGUCAGCAGCAUUUACAAUUUUUAGUAGGUGCAAUUAAUAAAUCUUGAUAAAAAAUUUAAAAGUUGCACAAAAAGCUAAAUUUAUUAAAAGUUGCAUUAAGAAAUUAAAUUAAAUUAAAAGUUUACAGUUAAAAAUAUUAUUUGUAAUAAUUGUUUUAUACUAGAACGUAAUUUUUUAAAAUUAGAUUUUUAAAAUUAUUCUAAAUGCCAACAUAAUACGAAAACAUAUGUAAAUAUAUUUUAUAUACACUUUAAUUAUAUAUUUUUUUCACGUAAAAAGGCCCUAAGGAUGCGUCGAUUAUUGUGAACACACCAGGUAAUCUGUGCUAUCGAGAUUUAUGAUAUCGCAACGUGUGCUAUUGGCACUAACUCAUUAUUCUUUUUAUAUAAUAUUCAUUGCAUUUAAUGUAAUUUUUGUAAAAUUAUAAGUAAUAUUAUUACUAACAAAUUUAUACGCAUAUUCCAAACUGUAUAAUUUUUAAUAAUUUAUAAAUUAUGUGCAAUUUGGGAAGUAUUAUAUUACUGGUUUAAUUUCAGGAAUAUGUUAAAGUAUUAUAGGUAGGUUUAAGUAUUAUGGAAUGUAUAUUAUAUUUUUAAAUAAAAUGUAUUUUUAAUCAAA